UAGAGUUUGAUCAUGGCUCAGAUUGAACGCUGGCGGCAGGCCUAACACAUGCAAGUCGAGCGGUAGAGAGAAGCUUGCUUCUCUUGAGAGCGGCGGACGGGUAAGUAAUACCUAGGAAUCUGCCUGAUAGUGGGGGAUAACGUUCGGAAACGGACGCUAAUACCGCAUACGUCCUACGGGAGAAAGCAGGGGACCUUCGGGCCUUGCGCUAUCAGAUGAGCCUAGGUCGGAUUAGCUAGUUGGUGAGGUAAUGGCUCACCAAGGCUACGAUCCGUAACUGGUCUGAGAGGAUGAUCAGUCACACUGGAACUGAGACACGGUCCAGACUCCUACGGGAGGCAGCAGUGGGGAAUAUUGGACAAUGGGCGAAAGCCUGAUCCAGCCAUGCCGCGUGUGUGAAGAAGGUCUUCGGAUUGUAAAGCACUUUAAGUUGGGAGGAAGGACAGUAAAUUAAUACUUUGCUGUUUUGACGUUACCGACAGAAUAAGCACCGGCUAACUCUGUGCCAGCAGCCGCGGUAUA
rnacentral:rRNA from 1 species